UACGUAGGGGGCAAGCGUUGUCCGGAAUCAUUGGGCGUAAAGAACGUGUAGGCGGCCAGAUAGGUCCGUUGUGAAAACUCGAGGCUCAACCUCGAGACGCCGAUGGAAACCAUCUGGCUAGAGUCCGGAAGAGGAGAGUGGAAUUCCCGGUGUAGCGGUGAAAUGCGCAGAUAUCGGGAAGAACACCUGCGGCGAAGGCGGGUUGCUGGGCCGACACUGACGCUGAUGCGCGAAAGCCAGGGGAGCGAACGGG
rnacentral:rRNA from 1 species